rnacentral:rRNA from 1 species
CCGUAGUGGCGCACGGGUGAGUAAUAUAUAGCUAAUAUGCCCCUUGCUGGAGGACAACAGUUAGAACUGACUGCUAAUACUCCAUAGCAAGGGAUGAGACUAUAUAGUAUCAGCUAGUCGGUGGGGUAACGGCCUACCGAGGCUAUGACGCGUAACUGGUAUGAGAGGAUGAUCAGUCACAUUGGAACUGAGAGACGGUCCAAACUCCUACGGGAGGCAGCAGGAGGGAAUAGUGCGAAAUGGGGGAAUCCCUGACGCAGCAACGCCGCGUGGAGGAUGACACUUUUCGGAGCGUAAACUCCUUUGGUUAGGGAAGCGGUACCUAAAGAAUAAGCACCGGCUAACUCCGGGCCAUCAGCCGCGGUAAUUC